ensembl:miRNA MIR3910-2 microRNA 3910-2
UUUUUUUGUUGCUUGUCUUGGUUUUAUGCCUUUUAUGUGCCUUGAUAUAAAAGGCAUAAAACCAAGACAAGCAACAGAAAAA